rnacentral:rRNA from 1 species
UACAGAGGGGGCAAGCGUUGUCCGGAUUUACUGGGCGUAAAGGAUGCGUAGGUGGAUAUUUAAGUGGGAUGUGAAAUACCCGGGCUCAACUUGGGUGCUGCAUUCCAAACUGGAUAUCUAGAGUGCAGGAGAGGUAAGUGGAAUUCCUAGUGUAGCGGUGAAAUGCGUAGAGAUUAGGAAGAACACCAGUGGCGAAGGCGACUUACGUGGACUGUAACUGACACUGAGGCAUGGAAAGCGU